rnacentral:rRNA from 1 species
UACGGGGGGAGCAAGCGUUGUUCGGAUUUACUGGGCGUAAAGGGCGCGUAGGCGGCCACCGCAAGUCGACUGUGAAAUCUCCGGGCUUAACCCGGAAAGGUCAGCCGAUACUGCGGGGCUAGAGUGCAGAAGGGGCAACUGGAAUUCUCGGUGUAGCGGUGAAAUGCGUAGAUAUCGAGAGGAACACCUGCGGCGAAGGCGGGUUGCUGGGCUGUUGCUGACGCUGAGGCGCGACAGCGUGGGGAGCAAACAGG